GACUCUUGGCAAUGAAUAUUUCUUUCUCUUGUUAUGAAAUGAAAAACAUAGAAAAAUGCAAAACUUGGUGUGAAUUACAUAAUCAUGUUAAUCAUAGAGUUUUUGAAUGAAAUUUUUGUUUGAGGCCAUAACUAAGGGAGCAUAUAUCUGGUCCAAUCAAAUCCAAUAUAGUGUCA
rfam:Picea glauca, whole genome shotgun sequence.